GACGAGGUGCACAAACGUUAUUCGGAAUUACUGGGCUUAAAGCGUACGUAGGCGGAUGUGCAAGCGUCGUGUGAAAGCCCUCGGCUCAACCGAGGAAUUGCACGGCGAACCGCACGUCUUGAGACAAGUAGGGGCUGUCGGAACGAUAGGUGGAGUGGUGAAAUGCGUUGAUAUCUAUCGGAACGCCGAAGGUGAAGACAGGCAGCUGGGCUUGUUCUGACGCUGAGGUACGAAAGCGUGGGUAGCGAACGGG
rnacentral:rRNA from 1 species